rnacentral:rRNA from 1 species
GAUGAACGCUGGCGGCGUGCUUAACACAUGCAAGUCGAACGGAAAGGCUCCUGCUUGCAGGGGUACUCGAGUGGCGAACGGGUGAGUAACACGUGGGUGAUCUGCCCUGCACUUCGGGAUAAGCCUGGGAAACUGGGUCUAAUACCGGAUAGGACGAUGGUUUGGAUGCCAUUGUGUAAAGUUUUUUCGGUGUGGGAUGAGCUCGCGGCCUAUCAGCUUGUUGGUGGGGUAAUGGCCUACCAAGGCGUCGACGGGUAGCCGGCCUGAGAGGGUGUACGGCCACAUUGGGACUGAGAUACGGCCCAGACUCCUACGGGAGGCAGCAGUGGGGAAUAUUGCACAAUGGGCGCAAGCCUGAUGCAGCGACGCCGCGUGGGGGAUGACGGCCUUCGGGUUGUAAACUCCUUUCGCUAGGGACGAAGCGCAAGUGACGGUACCUGGAGAAGAAGCACCGGCUAACUACGUG